rnacentral:rRNA from 1 species
CCUACGGGUGGCAGCAGUGGGGAAUAUUGGACAAUGGGCGAAAGCCUGAUCCAGCCAUGCCGCGUGUGUGAAGAAGGCCUUCGGGUUGUAAAGCACUUUCAGUGGGGAAGAAAGCCUUGGGGCUAAUACCCUCGAGGAAGGACAUCACCCACAGAAGAAGCACCGGCUAACUCCGUGCCAGCAGCCGCGGUAAUACGGAGGGUGCGAGCGUUAAUCGGAAUUACUGGGCGUAAAGCGCGCGUAGGCGGUCUGAUAAGCCGGUUGUGAAAGCCCCGGGCUCAACCUGGGAACGGCAUCCGGAACUGUCAGGCUAGAGUGCAGGAGAGGAAGGUAGAAUUCCCGGUGUAGCGGUGAAAUGCGUAGAGAUUGGGAGGAAUACCAGUGGCGAAGGCGGCCUUCUGGACUGACACUGACGCUGAGGUGCGAAAGCGUGGGUAGCAAACAGGAUUAGAUACCCGUGUAGUC